GAGAAAACAGCCGAGCUGCAAAAUAGAUCAUUGUUUUCCGUUAGGACACCCUGACCGACAGGCCACGAUCAAGCGUAAUGGAGAGAUGCAAGCAUUGGCACCUGCCCUCUCAAGCCGGAUUUUUCAAGCCCAGCAUGGUGCACCUCUAUUGUUGGCACAUCAGUGCCAACAGUAGAGGCAUUAGGAGAUGAGGACAGGCCAGUGCUAUAAUUCUUCCCAGUCCAUUAGCUGUAAUUAGGGUUCUGCGUUCUCAGAUAAACCUGAUAAACUCCAAAAAACACUAGCCGUUAAAAUUUUGCUGAUUCAGAUUCAUUUGAAAAACUCAAUUUUUAGGUCCCCCACCAGUCUUUAUAUUUCCCGGAAUCUUCGAACAAUUUUUGCAAUUCUCCUCUUACUGCAGUGUCAACUUCCGUUGCCAUGUAGCCCCUUAUAAUAAAAAUGAGGUAGGCCCUCUACGACAGUAGAUGAAUACGGCGCUCUCAUAUGAAAAUACUGCUUUACUAAAUUCACAAAGUGCUGUUUUCUACCUUUCAUUUGCCUCAUCGAAAAUGCCGAAAGACUCCGAACUUUGCGUACAUAAAUGGAAGCUCCAAAUUGAUGGUUCAAAAAAACAAAACAAAAAAAAAACACCCUCUAAUUUUGCUAAAAAAAAAAUUAAAUUCAAGAACGCAGGAUCCUAGCUAUAAUUUGUGCAAGCUUUCAAGAUCGAGGAAAUCGGUGACCGUAUUGUCAUAUUCAUUGUGGGCACACCACAAUGAAGGCGGAUCAAGUGCUAUUUUGAAUAGCAUGUAGUUCUGCACCAGAGAUCCCAUCCCCAGUUCACAAGCUUAGCCCAUCGCAGCAGUUUUAGAAAAUUGAAGUAUUUUCGGAACCCAACCGACACUUUUCUGAAGACUGUAACACAAUGCCUUAUCCAUCUUUCUUUUCAUGUGCUGAUGAGCGGACAUGCUGUGGAGACUGCACCGAGGCGGGGCAGCCCGCCCGUGUUUCCAAUAAAUGGGGUUUUCAUCCAGGAGGUAGGCUGGUAAUGCAGCAAUAAUAUAAGUGGGGUGGUUGCAUAUAACACUGGAAAUAUUAACAGAAGUUUUUUAUGGCAAUUUAAAAACAGUGCUGCAUUUUCCAGUCUACACCACGGUUUUCCCCCCGUCUGCAA